rnacentral:rRNA from 1 species
GUGCCAGCCGCCGCGGUAAUACGAAGGGGGCUAGCGUUGCUCGGAAUGACUGGGCGUAAAGGGCGCGUAGGCGGCGCAUUUAGUCAGGCGUGAAAUUCCUGGGCUCAACCUGGGGACUGCGCUUGAGACGGGUGUGCUAGAGGGCAGGAGAGGCUCGCGGAAUUCCCAGUGUAGAGGUGAAAUUCGUAGAUAUUGGGAAGAACACCGGUGGCGAAGGCGGCGAGCUGGCCUGUGACUGACGCUGAGGCGCGACAGCGUGGGGAGCAAACAGGAUUAGAAACCCCUGUAGUCC